rnacentral:rRNA from 1 species
UGGGGAAUAUUGGACAAUGGGCGAAAGCCUGAUCCAGCCAUGCCGCGUGUGUGAAGAAGGUCUUCGGAUUGUAAAGCACUUUAAGUUGGGAGGAAGGGCAGUUACCUAAUACGUAUCUGUUUUGACGUUACCGACAGAAUAAGCACCGGCUAACUCUGUGCCAGCAGCCGCGGUAAUACAGAGGGUGCAAGCGUUAAUCGGAAUUACUGGGCGUAAAGCGCGCGUAGGUGGUUUGUUAAGUUGGAUGUGAAAUCCCCGGGCUCAACCUGGGAACUGCAUUCAAAACUGACAAGCUAGAGUAUGGUAGAGGGUGGUGGAAUUUCCUGUGUAGCGGUGAAAUGCGUAGAUAUAGGAAGGAACACCAGUGGCGAAGGCGACCACCUGGACUGAUACUGACACUGAGGUGCGAAAGCGUGGGGAGCAAACAGGAUUAGAUACCCCCG